UUAAAGUACAACGAAAUUAUCUUGAAACCUAUUUUUUCCUAUGCUGUAUCUGUACAACAGGCCGAGAGAGAUCCUACACCUCUUCAUCGUGCUGCGAAACUUAUCAUCACUUCGCAACUUGAAAAUGGGGACUUUCCGCAACAGGAAAUAUUAGGAGUAUUCAUGAAUACAUGCAUGCUACACUAUGCUACAUACAGAAACACCUUCCCCUUAUGGGCACUCGCUGAAUAUCGAAAAGCUGCCUUCUUAACUCAUCAAGAUCUAUAGCUCUUCCUGAAUAAUCUUUAAAAGAAAUUUGGCUCUUCUUUAAUAAUCUAUACACAAUUCUGUAAAUAUAAAAGAAAGACAAAAUAAUAUUAUUAGGAGAGUGAAGUCAUAAUCUGAGAGACGAGGGUUGAUAUUUGCGCCUAGCAAAAUGUUAGUAGACUUGAUGUUCUUAUGCAAUAUUAGAGACUGUGAACAGUUAUGUUAACAAGAAAGGUAAUGAAAGAGCGUUUUCGUUUGAUUUU